CAGGUGGAUAUCAUGUGAGGACUAGGCAAGGAUAUAGCCCAUACCCACAUCUGAGAGCUCUGCUGCUACAGGUGCCAGAAAGAGACAGAAUUUCUAGAAGCUCCCAGGCCAGCUAGCCCGGCAUAUGAAGAACAAGGAGACCCUGUCUCAAAUUGAGUAGAAGGACACACACAUGCCGUGUCAUCGACUCAGUGACAGAUUACGACCUGCAUCUUAGUCUCUGUUAUGUGGCUGUGGCUCACAGCAGCUCUUCUCUGUGUGAAGCCCUAGGCGCAAAGCUUGAAAGAUGUCUAUGGGAGUCAUGAGAUAACCAUCCACAGGCACGAAAGAUGAACUGUGGCUUUCAUUCUGGAUGAAGGGAAAUAAACCAUGCAACGCCUGUACUGACACAUCACACCUAUAGCAAGACCGAAUGGGCCUCCCUGUGUAUCGCUGGGUAGCCAGGAAUGCUCUAUGUAAACCAAUCUUGGCCUUGAACUCAAGAGAUCCAUUUGCCUUUGUUGAGAUUAAAUAAAGUUGAGUGC